UACGAAGGGUGCAAGCGUUACUCGGAAUUACUGGGCGUAAAGCGUGCGUAGGUGGUGAGUUAAGUCUGUCGUGAAAGCCCCGGGCUCAACCUGGGAAUGGCGAUGGAUACUGGCUCGCUAGAGUGCGGUAGAGGAGAGUGGAAUUCCCGGUGUAGCAGUGAAAUGCGUAGAGAUCGGGAGGAACAUCAGUUGCGAAGGCGGCUCACUGGCCCGAUACUGACGCUGAGGUGCGAAAGCGUGGGGAGCAAACAGG
rnacentral:rRNA from 1 species